CUGCCAUGUGAGACAUACCUUUCACCUUCCGCCAUGAUUGUGAGGCCUCUCCAGCCACGUGGAACUGUUUCAGUCCUUGAGGAGCGCUCACUAGGAUGGUAAUUGUUUGAUCGAUAGAUUAAGUGAGUUGGAAGACUCUCCAAGUGAAAAUUUAAAAUUACUGCAGUUUUGGCCUGAUGAUGUUAACCAGCAAGAACAGAAUCUGAAACCAGAUGAGCUGUUAGUACUGCUUUCAUCUGUUUUACAGCCACAGCGACAGCAGUUCCCUGGCUUCUGGAAGGAGUGUCGGUCUAUCCAAAAAAUGUACUAACAGAUAUGUAAAGUCUGUCAUCCAUUUGCAGCAAAUUUUGCCUACGAAGUCGAAGGCUGAAUUUGGACCUGCUUUUCCUGUAUUUUCUCAGUUGCAUCUGGGCAGUAAGCUAAGUAUACAAGAAACGAGGGCCAACAUGAAGACAGUGUGGUGCACCAGGUGACGAAGUAAAUGUGCACGGGCUGUACUUUGAAUCAUCCUGUUAAAAACCAGUAGUGGGCCGGGCGCGGUGGCUCACGCCUGUAAUCCCAGCACUUUGGGAGGCCGAGGCGUGCGGAUCACGAGGUCAGGAGAUCGAGACCAUCCCGGCUAACACGGUGAAACCCCGUCUCUACUAAAAAUACAAAAAAUUAGCCGGGCGUGGUGGCGGGCGCCUGUAGUCCCAGCUACUCGGGAGGCUGAGGCA
rnacentral:lncRNA from 1 species